GGCGGUUCUCAGGUGAUGCACCCCCAAAUCAGGCUCCCUCCUCUCUGGUUCUGGGGUGCGUCACCCAAGAAGCU
rfam:Myotis brandtii contig273658, whole genome shotgun sequence.